CCUACGGGAGGCAGCAGUAAGGAAUAUUGGUCAAUGGACGCAAGUCUGAACCAGCCAUGCCGCGUGCAGGAUGACGGCCCUCUGGGUUGUAAACUGCUUUUAUAGGGGACGAAAAAAGGGCUUUCUAGCUCGUCUGACGGUACCCUAGGAAUAAGCACCGGCUAACUCCGUGCCAGCAGCCGCGGUAAUACGGAGGGUGCAAGCGUUAUCCGGAUUUACUGGGUUUAAAGGGUGCGUAGGUGGGUCGGUAAGUCAGCGGUGAAAUCUUCGAGCUUAACUCGGAAACUGCCAUUGAUACUAUCGAUCUUGAAUCAUCUGGAGGUAAGCGGAAUAUGUCAUGUAGCGGUGAAAUGCUUAGAUAUGACAUAGAACACCAAUUGCGAAGGCAGCUUACUACGGAUGCAUUGACACUGAGGCACGAAAGCGUGGGGAUCAAACAGGAUUAGAUACCCUGGUAGUCCACGCCCUAAACGAUAGAUACUCACAUUAGUAGAUAUACUUAAGUUAGUNUGAGAGAAGAGAUAAGUAAUACCACCGACGGUAAGGUAAGUAGUUCGCGAAGAAGUUAGUAAGUUAACGAAAGAAGUAGAGGACGNGAGAGAGCGACGGACGACGACGAGGGAGGAGGAG
rnacentral:rRNA from 1 species